rnacentral:tRNA from 1 species
GGAGAGGUGCCCGGAGCGGCUUAUCGGGGACCAGAGGAACACCUUCAGGUCGGGCCUAAAAACCCACGCAGGUUCGAAAUCCUGCCCUCUCCG